UACGAAGGGGGCUAGCGUUGUUCGGAAUUACUGGGCGUAAAGGGCGCGUAGGCGGCUUCGAUAGUCAGGCGUGAAAUCCCCAGGCUCAACUUGGGAAUUGCGCUUGAUACUGCGAGGCUUGAGUGAGGGAGAGGAUAGUGGAAUUCCCAGUGUAGAGGUGAAAUUCGUAGAUAUUGGGAAGAACACCAGUGGCGAAGGCGGCUAUCUGGACCUCAACUGACGCUGAGGCGCGAAAGCGUGGGGAGCAAACAGG
rnacentral:rRNA from 1 species